rnacentral:rRNA from 1 species
CAGUAGCCGCGGUAAUACGGAGGGGGCUAGCGUUGUUCGGAAUUACUGGGCGUAAAGCGCACGUAGGCGGCUUGGUAAGUUAGAGGUGAAAGCCUGGAGCUCAACUCCAGAAUUGCCUUUAAGACUGCCGAGCUAGUAGGUGAGAGAGGUAAGUGGAAUUCCGAGUGUAGAGGUGAAAUUCGUAGAUAUUCGGAAGAACACCAGUGGCGAAGGCGGCUUACUGGCUCAUUCUAGACGCUGAGGUGCGAAAGCGUGGGGAGCAAACAGGAUUAGAUACCCCCGUAGUCCCUGUCUCUUAUAC